CCUACGGGCGGCAGCAGUGGGGAAUAUUGCGCAAUGGGCGAAAGCCUGACGCAGCGACGCCGCGUGAGGGAUGAAGGUCUUCGGAUCGUAAACCUCUGUCAGCAGGGAAGAACGGUCACUGUGCUAAUCAGCAGUGAAUUGACGGUACCUGCAAAGGAAGCACCGGCUAACUCCGUGCCAGCAGCCGCGGUAAUACGGAGGGUGCGAGCGUUAAUAGGAAUUACUGGGCGUAAAGCGCUCGUAGGCGGUAUGUCAAGUCAAGGGUGAAAUCCCCGCGCGCAACGUGGGAACAGCCUUUUAAACACGGACACACGGGAGUGUGAGAGGAUAGUGGAAUUCCAGGUGUAGGAGUGAAAUCCGUAGAUAUCUGGAGGAACAUCAGUGGCGAAGGCGACUAUCUGGCACAUAACUGACGCUGAGGAGCGAAAGCGUGGGUAGCAAACAGGAUUAGAUACCCCUGUAGUC
rnacentral:rRNA from 1 species